rnacentral:rRNA from 1 species
AUUGAACGCUGGCGGCAGGCCUAACACAUGCAAGUCGAGCGGAUGAAGGGAGCUUGCUCCUGGAUUCAGCGGCGGACGGGUGAGUAAUGCCUAGGAAUCUGCCUGGUAGUGGGGGAUAACGUCCGGAAACGGGCGCUAAUACCGCAUACGUCCUGAGGGAGAAAGUGGGGGAUCUUCGGACCUCACGCUAUCAGAUGAGCCUAGGUCGGAUUAGCUAGUUGGUGGGGUAAAGGCCUACCAAGGCGACGAUCCGUAACUGGUCUGAGAGGAUGAUCAGUCACACUGGAACUGAGACACGGUCCAGACUCCUACGGGAGGCAGCAGUGGGGAAUAUUGGACAAUGGGCGAAAGCCUGAUCCAGCCAUGCCGCGUGUGUGAAGAAGGUCUUCGGAUUGUAAGGCACUUUAAGUUGGGAGGAAGGGCAGCAAGUUAAUACCUUGCUGUUUUGACGUUACCAACAGAAUAAGCACCGGCUAACUUCGUG